rnacentral:rRNA from 1 species
GAUGAACGCUGGCGGCGUGCUUAAUACAUGCAAGUCGAACGAAGAGCCUUUGCAGCAAUGCGAGGGUUUCUUAGUGGCGAACAGGUGCGUAACGCGUUGGUGACCUGCCCCAAAGUGUGGGAUAACAGUUCGAAAGGACUGCUAAUACCGCAUGUGGUCAUCGGGUUUAGAAGCCGAUGACUAAAGCAGUAAUGCGCUUUGGGAGGGACCUGCGUCCCAUCAGCUAGUUGGUGAGGUAACGGCCCACCAAGGCUUCGACGGGUAGGGGACCUGAGAGGGUGGUCCCCCACACUGGCACUGAAACACGGGCCAGACACCUACGGGUGGCAGCAGUAGGGAAUAUUGGGCAAUGGGCGAAAGCCUGACCCAGCAACGCCGCGUGCACGAUGAAGGUCUUCGGAUCGUAAAGUGCUUUUCUGAGAGAUGAGAAAGGACAG